rnacentral:pre_miRNA from 1 species
AAGGAGCACUGGAUCCUGGGCUGUGUCCCCAGGCACCCUGGGCUCCGGGGCCUGUGCUGCUGGAGUCCCACUGCUGGGGCCACGCAGCUCCCU